UACGGAGGGUGCAAGCGUUAUCCGGAUUCACUGGGUUUAAAGGGUGCGUAGGUGGGCAGGUAAGUCAGUGGUGAAAUCUCCGGGCUUAACUCGGAAACUGCCAUUGAUACUAUCUGUCUUGAAUACCGUGGAGGUUAGCGGAAUAUGUCAUGUAGCGGUGAAAUGCUUAGAUAUGACAUAGAACACCAAUUGCGUAGGCAGCUCACUACGGAGUCAUUGACGCUGAGGCACGAAAGCGUGAGGAUCAAACAGG
rnacentral:rRNA from 1 species